rnacentral:lncRNA from 1 species
UCUAAGUUACUCCUCACUGUGACUAGUCUGAGAAGGUUGGCUUGCAUUCACAACAUUAAUCAACCAAUGAAGAGUAAGAGGGUUGGCUUGUUGUGCGUGAGAGAGAAAAACCACAUUAAUUAACAUGACGAUGCUAGGUACCCACUUACGAAUCACUCGAAUUACUCCAUUACAGGAAGAUCAAGCUGAGCUACAAGAGGUUGAGGAGGAGUACAUGAGGUAGGAGAUGAUAGGGAAAGAGGAAGCCGUCGUUGCCAUUCGUGAUCCAAGCCCGGAUGACUCUUCGCUGCACCUCCCGUGGAUAUUUGUAGUCUGCCUUGCCCUGGAGUGGCGCCCAACCAGGCCCAGCCCAUGUGCUGAUCACUUGGUGGGCUUGUUGCUUCGGCUGUCGUGGCAGCAGUUUGGGCUGCCACUGAUCUACGCAACUGUGGUCGUAUUUGGGUCGCUGACACCCCCUCCUCCUUAACAACCGGCUUGCCCCCAAGCCGGUGCUCGUUCUCUUCUAGCUCCGCAAAAUGCAAUCCUCCCUGGUCCCACUGCUCGCAAGAAGUUGCAUGUUGAACUGACUGUAUGAACUGCCACAUGAGAAAAGCUAUGGGAUAAUCUUCAGUUAUGGAUCUCAUUGCAUGCAAGCCAGCACAGGUACUAGAGCUCCCAGAAAUACAUGGCAUCUCUUGUAGUUUCCCGGUGCUGUUAUGGGCUAACCAAAACAGAGUAGUAGUGAGACCUGCAUCUGGCCCCCAAGAGAAGCACCACCAAUAGCUUGACAAGGUACUGCAAUGAUCAGUUAAGGUCCAAGAUUGAGUCAAUUCCCAAAGAGCUCCAGUGAGCUGUAGAAACUCUGAAUUAGUUCGCAUAUUGUUGUUGCAUUAUGUAGAAAAUUGUGGUGAGACAAGAGGUGACCAUGGAGGUUUGGGUUGCAACAAGGCCAAAUGCUCUCCUGGUUGUGGAAUAAGUAGUUCCAAUUCAAUCAGAAUGAGCCCACUCCUUACCACUAGGAUGCCAACGCACAUGCCAUAGUUGUAAGUGAUUUUGUUGCGCUCCCCUGUAUGAUAUUGGCUUCUCCACCUUUGAACCAUGUCACUUAUCUGCCCAACAGGAUGCAACAACAGCUCAACAACCAUCAUGAAUUGGUUCCCAGUGAGAAAUGCAUACGAAUAGGGGACAAAAUUAGCUUGAACGAAAUUAGGCUUCAGGAGUUUCCACUCAUCGCCACUAGCCUGUAGAUUGCUCAUAUGUUGCUGGCCAUGUGUCUUGUGUAAUAACAGACCAACAUGCAGUGACUCAUCUGAAAAGGCAAUAAGCUGCAGCUUCAGGUUUGUAACAGUUGUGCUUGAGCGGGAGAAUCUAGUGUGACUAAUAUCAGUAGAAGCGAGUAGCAGCAAAGCCAGAUAGAUAGCAAAGACAGUGAAUUCCAAGCUGACCAUUCCAGGAGUAUUGGGCAAUUCAUCACACAUGAGCCUCAAGUGUUCAAUCCGUAAAUAGAGCUGACUACAAAAGCAUUGCUCGAACACCACACAAGUUUUGCGGCAAUGACCUGAAAGUGAAACCAAGUCUAGCCUAGGUUGAAUGGUCUCCGGAGUAAACUCGAACCAUGGCCAUGGUCUUGGUCGGAGCUUGGUAAGCCAUACCUCAUAUGGAGUAGUCAGCAGAACUUUUCUCUUGUCAGUACCAUUUUCUGCAGCUUGGUCACUAGAUGAAUGCACGUUAUCGCACAGGGGGGCCAAGCGCUCAACUCUCACAGAGAACAUGAACUGAAUGGAAGUGUUUAAUGUCAAAGCAGAGGUAGCCGUGGUGCUCUCCUGACUGUUAAGGUGAUCACCCUUUCUCAAAAAAUUAAAAGAAUCACAUGAGGUGAACAUGAUACCUCCUGCUGAGCACAAGUUACUCAUGAGAUUAAAUAGAAAUGGCAUAAUCAGGGCCCCCAUAACACACACUCUCCAGAAAUAUUCCGUAGAUGUUUGCCAAACAACCUUGCUGUUUUUGCUGCUCCCAGACUCGACAAACCAUUUAACAAAUAAGCCUGGGUUAGUGCACUGCUCCAGCUCAAUCAUAAUCAACAAAGUUCUCACCAGAUGGAUAAAAUAUUCAACCACGGUAGCAUGAUGAGUGUCGUGAGUGGUUUUGGCAUGAGCAAACCAGUUUAAGGCUGAAUUGGGAUCCCUCUCAUUAUGCUGAAAGUGAAAAGCCUCAUAGGAAACAUGCCAUGCACUGUCCUGUAUUAAAAUGCGUGUACUGCAGUUAUCUUCAGAAGUGGACUCGAGCAUGUCGUCGACUGUAACAACAAGAUCAUUCCGAUAACCAAACGAACCCACUGAGCCUUUAUCCAAACUCUUGAGGUUCGCAGAAACAUCUGACUCACGUGCGAUUGCUAUACCAUCUCCUGGAUCUGGUUGAUGAAGAAAAUAAGAUGCAUCCCAGUACUCCUCAAGGCAAGCUUCUAGUUCAGUUGAGCAUGCAACUGCAAGCGGUCCAAUUGUACUAAUACUUUCAGGCACUUUAUGUUGAAUUCCAUUGGUGCAAGUCCUGUCUGAAUCGGUUCCAUUAAUAGGGUCGUCCCGAGGAACAUCUCAGAUUGUCAAUCGAAUUAGACAAGGACUGAAGCAGGAACCUCCAAGUGAUUGACUAUGGAUACGUGAACAUGGUUCUUCCAAGUAGCUUGCGACUGACAGAGGUCGGAACGACGGCCACAGACUAGGCCUGAAGAGGGGUCCCAUGUGAUAGAACUGCACUUGUACAGUGGGUAGCCAUGGUUGAUGUUCGAAGGAAGGCAGGUGCAGACGCUCGGCGAUGGCAGUGUCAUGUGUCUCGUCGGCACUGUUGAUGGUGGCAGUAAGAGGCUUCACCCAGUCGCUUGCAGGGACAGGGCAGUCUGCCCAGCGCAUGGUCAGCGCUGGUGCAGCGAGGUUGCUGGAGACGACGAGAAGGACGCCGUGCUCCCCAUCGCUCACGACCGGGGUGGAGGUGUCGAUGGAGGGUAGUGGUGAGGUAUCCAACUCCUGUACGACGGCCUUGGGGUCGAUGUUGAUGGUGGUCGCCACUAGAGGAACGAACUCCUCGUUGAGAGAGGUGUUGGUGCUGAUGGUGGGUGGUGCCCACGCGGGUGUGAGCUUCUCGACCUCCUUGUCGUUGAUGUCGACUGCGCGCUCGGGGCGCAGGGUUGUGGUGGCGUCGUGGACCUCGUCGACAUGGGUGACGGUGAUGACCUGGGUCGAACAUUCCGUCGAACAGGUGACUGGCACCAUCUUGAUGGAAGCAGGGGACGCGCCGGGGGUGAGCUCCAAGGUCUCCUGGGCCUUGGUGGUGGAGGAGAAGACGUCAUGGACGACCGCCGGGGCUCUGGCGUCGUCGGUGAGGCCGCCAUCGGCUGCCGUGCCCAUGGGGCAAGCCAGCUGCGGGGUCGAGACGCCCGUGAGGAUCUUCAACAUCCGCCGUGCUGCUUGUCCACGGCGUUGUAGCGUGCCAUGGUCCGCGCAUGGUAAUCGACCAAGUAGGCCUUCAGCUCCGGAUGCAUGGUGGUGGAAGAAAUUGAUGAACUCAAAAAAAAUUGGGCAAAAAUUGGACGAACUCGGGAAAAUUUGUGGCGAAUCAGAAGGGUGGAAGGAGGCUCUGGUACCACGAUGCUAGGUACCCACUUACGAAUCACUCGAAUUACUCCAUUACAGAAAGAUCAAGCUGAGCUACAAGAGGUUGAGGAGGAGUACAGGAGGUAGGAGAUGAUAGGGGAAAGAGGAAGUCGCCGUUGCCGUUCGUGAUCCAAGCCCGGAUGACUCUUCGCUGCACCUCCCGUGGAUAUUUGUAGUCUGCCUUGCCCUGGAGUGGCGCCCAACCA